rnacentral:rRNA from 3 species
AGAGUUUGAUCAUGGCUCAGAUUGAACGCUGGCGGCAGGCCUAACACAUGCAAGUCGAGCGGUAGCACAGAGAGCUUGCUCUCGGGUGACGAGCGGCGGACGGGUGAGUAAUGUCUGGGAAACUGCCUGAUGGAGGGGGAUAACUACUGGAAACGGUAGCUAAUACCGCAUAACGUCGCAAGACCAAAGUGGGGGACCUUCGGGCCUCAUGCCAUCAGAUGUGCCCAGAUGGGAUUAGCUAGUAGGUGGGGUAACGGCUCACCUAGGCGACGAUCCCUAGCUGGUCUGAGAGGAUGACCAGCCACACUGGAACUGAGACACGGUCCAGACUCCUACGGGAGGCAGCAGUGGGGAAUAUUGCACAAUGGGCGCAAGCCUGAUGCAGCCAUGCCGCGUGUGUGAAGAAGGCCUUCGGGUUGUAAAGCACUUUCAGCGGGGAGGAAGGCGGUGAGGUUAAUAACCUCAUCGAUUGACGUUACCCGCAGAAGAAGCACCGGCUAACUCCGUGCCAGCAGCCGCGGUAAUACGGAGGGUGCAAGCGUUAAUCGGAAUUACUGGGCGUAAAGCGCACGCAGGCGGUCUGUCAAGUCGGAUGUGAAAUCCCCGGGCUCAACCUGGGAACUGCAUUCGAAACUGGCAGGCUAGAGUCUUGUAGAGGGGGGUAGAAUUCCAGGUGUAGCGGUGAAAUGCGUAGAGAUCUGGAGGAAUACCGGUGGCGAAGGCGGCCCCCUGGACAAAGACUGACGCUCAGGUGCGAAAGCGUGGGGAGCAAACAGGAUUAGAUACCCUGGUAGUCCACGCCGUAAACGAUGUCGAUUUGGAGGUUGUGCCCUUGAGGCGUGGCUUCCGGAGCUAACGCGUUAAAUCGACCGCCUGGGGAGUACGGCCGCAAGGUUAAAACUCAAAUGAAUUGACGGGGGCCCGCACAAGCGGUGGAGCAUGUGGUUUAAUUCGAUGCAACGCGAAGAACCUUACCUGGUCUUGACAUCCACAGAACUUAGCAGAGAUGCUUUGGUGCCUUCGGGAACUGUGAGACAGGUGCUGCAUGGCUGUCGUCAGCUCGUGUUGUGAAAUGUUGGGUUAAGUCCCGCAACGAGCGCAACCCUUAUCCUUUGUUGCCAGCGGUUAGGCCGGGAACUCAAAGGAGACUGCCAGUGAUAAACUGGAGGAAGGUGGGGAUGACGUCAAGUCAUCAUGGCCCUUACGACCAGGGCUACACACGUGCUACAAUGGCAUAUACAAAGAGAAGCGACCUCGCGAGAGCAAGCGGACCUCAUAAAGUAUGUCGUAGUCCGGAUUGGAGUCUGCAACUCGACUCCAUGAAGUCGGAAUCGCUAGUAAUCGUAGAUCAGAAUGCUACGGUGAAUACGUUCCCGGGCCUUGUACACACCGCCCGUCACACCAUGGGAGUGGGUUGCAAAAGAAGUAGGUAGCUUAACCUUCGGGAGGGCGCUUACCACUUUGUGAUUCAUGACUGGGGUGAAGUCGUAACAAGGUAACCGUAGGGGAACCUGCGGUUG